rnacentral:rRNA from 1 species
GAGUAACGCGUGAGAAUCUGCCUCUAGAACGGGGACAACAGAGGGAAACUUCUGCUAAUCCCGGAUGAGCCGAAAGGUCAAAGAUUUAUCGUCUAGAGAUGAGCUCGCGUCUGAUUAGCUAGUUGGUAAGGUAAAAGCUUACCAAGGCGACGAUCAGUAGCUGGUCUGAGAGGAUGAUCAGCCACACUGGGACUGAGACACGGCCCAGACUCCUACGGGAGGCAGCAGUGGGGAAUUUUCCGCAAUGGGCGCAAGCUGACGGAGCAAGACCGCGUGGGGGAGGAAAGCCUUUGGGUUGUAAACCCUUUUCUCAGGGAAGAAGAAAGUGACGGUACCUGAGGAAUCAGCCUCGGCUAACUCCGUGCCAGCAGCCGCGGUAAUACGGAGGAGGCAAGCGUUAUCCGGAAUGAUUGGGCGUAAAGCGUUCGUAGGUGGCAAUUCAAGUCUGCUGUCAAAGACAGUAGCUCAACUACUGCAAGGCAGUGGAAACUGAAUAGCUAGAGUGCGGUAGGGGCAGAGGGAAUUCCCGGUGUAGCGGUGAAAUGCGUAGAGAUCGGGAAGAACACCGGUGGCGAAACGCUCUGCUGGGCCGCACUGACACUGAGGGACGAAAGCUAGGGGAGCGAUGGGAUUAGAUAC